UUGUAGUAACUAGGUUGUUUUUUUUUUUUUUUGGCUCAUUUUUACUCACGACAUGCUAACCGGCAACAAAGGAUUCCAUUUACUACGCUAAGCUAAACUAGCGGCAGCGCUGCCAGACUAAGACAAUGCGUGCACUGAGACAAAAAUGUGUUUG